CAAAAAGAGAAAGAAAGGAAAAUAUAGCUAAAAUGAAAAAGCUUAACCAUCCCUGAAAGUGACACUGCUCCAUAGAAAGCUCUGGAGUUGACUGUGCGGUGCAGCAUUUAUUUUUCACGAUUCCUUCAUCUGGCCUGGCAUGGUUUCAGUAUGGAAGAGGCUGAUUCUCUAACACCUGGCAACGGAGAAAAUGGUUUGGUGGCAUGCUCGGUGUGAAAGACAGAGGGCAGAAACCUAUCCUAAGGCUUGUGUACAAACGUGCUCGAAGGAAUUUGAUACCCUUGAUCGUCCAUCAUGUGCGCCCAGGCAGUAACAGCUUCAGCGAUGAAUGACGGGCUUGUAGAUCCCACAUCUGGGUGCCAUACACAACAUUUAGGGCGUGGGGAGGCUACAAAGCACAGGUAUGGAGACUAAGAGACUAAACUCCAUUUGGCCCAGGAGAUGAUGACACCCUUGUUUUUUUCACAGCUUGCUCUACUUCUUUCCACUUAGGUACACAGUCCUCCAUUUGGUAUUCUGGUGGAUUGAUAGAUGGGCUGU